rnacentral:rRNA from 1 species
GACGAACGCUGGCGGCGUGCCUAAUACAUGCAAGUAGAACGCUGAAGGAGGAGUUUGCUCUUCUGGAUGAGUUGCGAACGGGUGAGUAACGCGUAGGUAACCUGCCUGGUAGCGGGGGAUAACUAUUGGAAACGAUAGCUAAUACCGCAUAACAGUAGAUGUUGCAUGACAUUUGCUUAAAAGGUGCAAUUGCACCACUACCAGAUGGACCUGCGUUGUAUUGGCUAGUUGGUGGGGUAACGGCUCACCAAGGCGACGAUACAUAGCCGACCUGAGAGGGUGAUCAGCCACACUGGGACUGAGACACGGCCCAGACGCCUACGGGAAGCAGCAGUAGGGAAACUUCGGCAAGGGACGGAAGUCUGACCGAGCAACGCCGCGGGAGUGAAGAAGGUUUUCGGGUCGUAAAGCUCUGUUGUAAGGGAAGAACGAGUGUGAGGGUGGAAAGUUCACACUGUGACGGUAUCUUACCAAAAAGGGACGGCUAACUACGUG